CUACGGGAGGCAGCAGUGAGGAAUAUUGCACAAUGGGGGGAACCCUGAUGCAGCAACGCCGCGUGGAGGAUGACGCAUUUCGGUGUGUAAACUCCUUUUAUAUGUCAAGAAAAUGACGGUAGCAUAUGAAUAAGCACCGGCUAACUCCGUGCCAGCAGCCGCGGUAAUACGGAGGGUGCAAGCGUUACUCGGAAUCACUGGGCGUAAAGGACGCGUAGGCGGGUUGGAAAGUCAGGGGUGAAAUCCUACAGCUUAACUGUAGAACUGCACUGGAAACUUCUAAUCUAGAGUAUGGGAGAGGGAGGUGGAAUUAGUGGUGUAGGGGUAAAAUCCGUAGAUAUCACUAGGAAUACCUAAAGCGAAGGCGAUCUCCUGGAACAUUACUGACGCUAAGGCGUGAAAGCGUGGGGAGCAAACAGGAUUAGAUACCCUCGUAGUC
rnacentral:rRNA from 1 species